NNCCAGCUGACGAGUCCCAAGUUGGACGAAAUGUGCGUCCUGGAU
rnacentral:hammerhead_ribozyme from 1 species